GGCGGUGUGCACGUGCAGCUUCUCGAAGGGGACGCGCACGUCACGACACUCAACUCAGUCAGAUGUAGGAGAGGAGGGCAGACCACGAAAUAUUAACUCUUAGGAACAGGGUUAAAUUGACCCUGGUCUGCCACCUGGUGUGGAGGCCUUGCUGGGUGGGAGGAAACAUGAUGAGCGGGAAGAGCCUUCUCCUGAAGGUGAUCCUGCUGGGUGACGGUGGAGUGGGCAAGUCCUCCCUGAUGAACCGCUAUGUCACAGACCGAUUUGACUCCCAGUCCUUUCACACCAUUGGAGUGGAGUUCCUAAACCGGGACCUGGAGGUGGAUGGGCGCUUGGUCACUCUUCAGAUCUGGGACACAGCAGGCCAGGAGCGCUUUAAGUCCCUGCGCACACCUUUCUACAGAGGCGCUGACUGUUGCCUGCUCACAUUUGCUGUAAACGACCUGCAAAGCUUCCAGAAUCUCGGCGGCUGGAAGAAGGAGUUCAUGUACUACUCGGAUGUUAAAGACCCUGAGCGCUUCCCUUUUGUGGUGCUGGGCAAUAAGGUAGACAUGGAGCAGAGGGAGGUGGGGGAGGACGAAGCACGGGCCUGGUGUGAAGAGAACGGCUGCUGCCCUUACUUUGAGACCAGUGCUAAGGAUGACACUAAUGUCACAGCUGCAUUCGAGGCAGCUGUCAGGGAGGUUCUGGCUGCUGAGGACCAGAUUGACCAUGCACUACUGAGUAGUACUAUUGAUCUCCAUGGCAACCGCAAAACCUCUCGCACAUUUUGCUGCUGAUUGGUCAGGUGUGAAUCCCCCUUGUCUUAAUUUAUUUGUCUGAAACCCAUGGCAGUUUUGAGAGCCAGUCAGAUGUUGUUAAUGGUACAUAUACUCUAGGUACAAGGCAUUGAGUACAGUAUCCCCUAAUGUGGAUAAGAUGUAGCUGCCCUGAGGAGGGCUGUGUCAGUGAUUCAGCUGAAUUAUUGCUCUAACCAAUGUACAGGCACACUGUAAUAGGCACACUCAUCCUUUGUUCUAGGUCUGCUUUCAGUGGGGUUGCACAAACACAUUUUCACCCAGCGUCAGCUUUGUCUGCCUAUGCAGGAGCUGUAUCAAAUUGUGCUUUCAGAGCAUUUAUUUUAAUUCAAAUGAUUAAAAGAUGAGAGCAUAUACCAGUCUUCUCUUGAAGAGCACACUUUACACAAGAGCACACUUUGGCACAUCAACACACAUUUGUUCUUGUAACUGCUCAACAGUCCGUCCAUGAGCGGAUUUACCUGGGUUUUAAAUGGACUUUGAAGAAGAAGAAAAAAAAACUCACAUUUUCUUAUUAUCAGAUCCUUCAGCAAAAGUGGAGAGCUAAUGUAUUUUCUGGACACAAUCCAGGCAGAUAUCUUGCAUGAGAAGCCCCAACAUCAGCAUGAUGACCAAUAGGAUUCGAGGUACGAGGAACUUAAAAUACUGCUGCUGCUUUAAAAAGCAGGAUGACCGUGUUUGUCUUCAAUGGGAAGGGAACUGUAAGCUUUAAUUCUGCAGCUGUGACUGUCAGCCUGUAAGCAUUGGGUACGAGCUAAUGUGGUGCCCUUAUUCAUUCGUCUAUCCUAUGUAUUACCACUGCACUACUGUGUGGCUGGAUGUGGCAGGUGUACGAGCUAGGCAUUAUUAGAUCAUUUUUAUUUCCCAUGAUUUAUGGACAUGGGUCUUUUUUCAGUGUUCAGUGUUUCUCCAUGUUCAAAAAUAAUACUGCUUUUGCAGCUGUUGUUGAUAAACUGCUGUUUAUUUUUCUGUAAAGCACAUUUCUAUCUUCCGAUGUGUUUUUUUUAUUUGCUUGUGUUUUUUUACGGAUGUGUGAUAUUCUAUUCGAUCAAGGGCUGAUUUCAGUCUGUUUUCCUGAUGUAUAGAGGAGGUUGUAAUUAUCAGAAUGAACAAUUAUUUUCAUAAUUAUGGCAUGUUUUUAAUCUCGUGCCUGCCUUGUUGAUUGCGUGUCCGGCCUCAACAUUCCAGUCCUUUAACCUAUUCUGAAGGUCUCCUCUGCUUUCCUAAUAUAUUACACACGCCUUGUGCUGUCUGUCUGGUCAUUCUAGGUCACAGCUGAAUGUGAAAUGGCCCGAACACAAGGAUAGGGUCAUUACUACUAAUGCGUGCACACAUUAGUAUCACCUCUUCUGUCCGUUCUUAACAGUAUUGAGCGAAACGUAUAACUAAGUAUUCUGACAACUUAACAAUGUUUACUCGUUUUCAACUGGAUGGUACUUUUAUUUAAAUGUUUUUAAAUACAGGCUUCCUUUGGUUUUACUGCUAUCAGAGGGCUUAGUUUUUGUCUGUAUGGUUCGAAAAGUAAUGUGCUGAUAUUCAAUGCUUCAAACUGAGUUUAACAUGAUUUAAAAUCAUUCUCAUCAGUAUUUUGAUUGCUGCUGAAACAAUAUUAUAUUGUGCUGUCUACUCAAACAACCAAACCUGUUGCAUAAAUAAGAUCAAGUGUUUUCAUCUGCUGAAUGCACAGUCACCACAGUUCUUAUUAUAAUGUAUGUUCUCAUACCCUUUUUUCUGUUUUGUUGGAGAUCCAGUGUAUUCCCUGAGAUUUGCCUUUCAAGACAAAAAUUGCAUCAUAUUUCAAUGUGUGCAGACUAAUGGUAAACAUUGCAUCUAAUCAGAUGCAGUCAUAUUUACUUAUUGCAUAGUUCUUUGGUUUAAGGUAGGCUUGAAAUAAACAGCUUGUUUGUACGAUUACUGUAAAGGUGUGUUGAGUGCUAGUACUCACAGCAAUAUGAGAGAACUGUAUGAACUGUGAACUGAAUAGGGCAUUUUAACUAAAUCAAGCUGGUGGCCUACAUUACUUCAAAGCAAAAAUAAGGGCUGUUCGCUUAUCAUGUGUAAAUGUCAGUGUUUUUUGGAUUAAACUGAAUACUUUGUCUCUUUACUGUACUAUUUUAGUUUUUAUCCGUUCAAAUAAUGUAGCCUAUCACAGUGUUUACCUGAGAAUCAGUGGGUACUUAUAUAAACUGGUAGCAUAACCCUACAGUAUGUUGCUCUCAUGAUACUGUCUCAGAUCACUGCAACCCUGUCUUGUUGCUGUAAUAUUUAAGAAUGUAAAAACGUAUUUCUUUGGUCUGUCCAUAUUAAUGGCUUAUGUAAAUUGCAAAGGGCAUCAUUUUUUGUUAAUGUACAAAAUGACACUGAACGUCUGUCUCACCCUCAGUGCUCAACCCAUAAGUGUGAUUAAAGCUGUGUGAAAGUUAGACUGUUCAUCUUUAUUAUGUGUUGACCUAAUGGACAACUUCCCUUCACUCCUCUUUUUGCACUACAGAGGAUAGGGACUGGUUGUGCCAACAUGCUGGCAAAGCAACGAAUACUCUCCGGUGCUUGGCUACAAAUAAAACAUACCAAAUA